UACGAAGGGGGCUAGCGUUGCUCGGAAUUACUGGGCGUAAAGGGCGCGUAGGCGGCCUGUUAAGUCGAACGUGAAAUCCCCAGGCUCAACCUGGGAACUGCGUCCGAUACUGGCAGGCUUGAAUCCGGGAGAGGGAUGCGGAAUUCCAGGUGUAGCGGUGAAAUGCGUAGAUAUCUGGAGGAACACCUGUGGCGAAGGCGGCCCCCUGGUCGGAUACUGACGCUGAGACGCGAAAGC
rnacentral:rRNA from 1 species